rnacentral:rRNA from 1 species
GAGGGMAAGYCUGGUGCCAGCAGCCGCGGUAAUUCCAGCUCCAGUAGCGUAUAUUAAAGUUGUUGCAGUUAAAAAGCUCGUAGUUGGAUUUGUGGUGUUUUUUUUUUAUUUGCUUUUUUUGGUUUUUUGUUUUUCUCUUUUUGAGAUGAAUUGAAAACCUGGAAGCGAGGACACCAUCCUUGACAGGUUUGAAAGUGAUAUUAUAUCGCCGCAAACAUUGUCAUCCUUUACUUUGAAAAAAUUGGAGUGAUUCAAGCAGGCAAGAAUUAUAAUUUUAAUUUUAAUUUAACUUUGCUUCUGCACAUGUUAGCAUGGAAUAAUGCAAGAGGACUUGGGUUUUCUCUUUCAUUGGUUUCAGGAAUCCGAGUAAUGAUUGAUAGGGACAGUUGGGGGUGCUCGUACUCGACGGCCAGAGGUGAAAUUCUUGGAUUCGUUGAAGACGAACAACUGCGAAAGCAUUCACCAAGGAUGUCUUCUUUAAUCAAGAACGAAGGUUGGGGGAUCGAAGAUGAUCAGAUACCGUCGUAGUCCCAACCAUAAACGAUGCCGACCAGGGAUCAGCGAGCGUUGACUUGGCGUUCUCCUUAUUUUCUCUCUUUUUGGGAGUAAUAUGUAGAUUUUGCCAACCUCAUUAAUUUGAAACGACCUCGUUGGCACCUUGCGAGAAAUCACCAGUCUUUGGGCUCCGGGGGGAGUAUGGUCGCAAGGCUGAAACUUAAAGGAAUUGACGGAAGGGCACAACCAGCAGUGGAGCCUGCGGCUUAAAUUGACUCAACACGGGGAAACUUACCAGGUCCAGACAUCAUAAGGAUUGACAGAUUGAAGHUCUUUCUUGAUUYKRUGG